rnacentral:rRNA from 1 species
AGCGAACGCUGGCGGCAGGCCUAACACAUGCAAGUCGAACGAAGUCUUCGGACUUAGUGGCGGACGGGUGAGUAACACGUGGGAACGUGCCUUUAGGUUCGGAAUAACUCAGGGAAACUUGUGCUAAUACCGAAUGUGCCCUUCGGGGGAAAGAUUUAUCGCCUUUAGAGCGGCCCGCGUCUGAUUAGCUAGUUGGUGAGGUAAAGGCUCACCAAGGCGACGGUCAGUAGCUGGUCUGAGAGGAUGUUCAACCACAUUGGCACUGAGACACGGCCCAAACUCCUACGGGAGGCAGCAGUGGGGAAUCUUGCGCAAUGGGCGAAAGCCUGACGCAGCCAUGCCGCGUGAAUGAUGAAGGUCUUAGGAUUGUAAAAUUCUUUCACCGGGGACGAUAAUGACGGUACCCGGAGAAGAAGCCCCGGCUAACUUCGUGCCAGCAGCCGCGGUAA